rnacentral:rRNA from 1 species
GACGAACGCUGGCGGCGUGCCUAAUACAUGCAAGUAGAACGCUGAAGGAGGAGCUUGCUUCUCUGGAUGAGUUGCGAACGGGUGAGUAACGCGUAGGUAACCUGCCUGGUAGCGGGGGAUAACUAUUGGAAACGAUAGCUAAUACCGCAUAAGAGUAGAUGUUGCAUGACAUUUGCUUAAAAGGUGCAAUUGCAUCACUACCAGAUGGACCUGCGUUGUAUUAGCUAGUUGGUGGGGUAACGGCUCACCAAGGCGACGAUACAUAGCCGACCUGAGAGGGUGAUCGGCCACACUGGGACUGAGACACGGCCCAGACUCCUACGGGAGGUAGCAGUAGGGAAUCUUCGGCAAUGGACGGAAGUCUGACCGAGCAACGCCGCGUGAGUGAAGAAGGUUUUCGGAUCGUAAAGCUCGGUUGUAAGAGAAGAACGAGUGUGAGAGUGGAAAGUUCACACUGUGACGGUAUCUUACCAGAAAGGGACGGCUAACUACGUG